AGCUGUCUCCUGCUAUUGAGAUCCCUGAGAACAGCUCAACGCCAUGGUCCAGCCUUAUAAAUCUGAUAAAAAUAGGAGAUGAAACACCAUCCCGGGGUCGCUAUUUUUAAAAGCGCCUGAGAUGCUGGAUUGGGUUUAUUUCUUCCUCAAAUGGCAUCUUGCUGUCCCUUCCUCCAGGAUGUGAACGUGGCACAUGUGAGGGACAGGAGCCAGAUGUCUGGGAGGAGGCAUAUUUGUCAGGUAGCUAGCUGCCUGGCCAGCAGGAGCCUCCUGGCCCAGAUGCACCUGCCUCCUCCCACACCCCGUCUCCUCCCUCUGUUUGAGGUUCCAGUGGUUGUCCCAGGAGUCAGGUGUUUGCCACAUCUACCUAGGAGAACAGGACAGGUUGUCUUGGCUCACCUCAUCACAGCUAACCUCGGAAAGGAAUAGUCCCUUAAGGCCAAAGCCCAGCUUGUUACAUCCCUGACUCAUGGAGAGCGUGGGAUCAGUGCUAGAGGCAACGUUGGGCAUACUCAUCUUGGAGCCAUUCACAGGCAGCGCUUGCCCUGGGUUUGCCCUCAC